AAUCAACGCUGGCGGCAUGCCUAACACAUGCAAGUCGAGCGAGAAAGUGUAGCAAUACAUGAGUAAAGCGGCGCACGGGUGAGUAACACGUGGAUAACCUGCCUCAAAGUGGGGAAUAACACCGGGAAACCGGUGCUAAUACCGCAUAUUCUGAUGAAGUCUGCGGAUUUUGUCAGUAAAGGAGCAAUUCGCUAUGAGAGGGGUCCGCGGCUGAUUAGCUAGUUGGUGAGGUAAUGGCUCACCAAGGCAACGAUCAGUAGCCGGUCUGAGAGGACGGUCGGCCACACUGGAACUGAGACACGGUCCAGACUCCUACGGGAGGCAGCAGUGGGGAAUUUUUCGCAAUGGGGCAACCCUGACGAAGCAAUGCCGCGUGGAUGAUGAAGUAUUUCGGUACGUAAAAUCCUUUCGACGGGGACGAAACCGCAAGGUUGACGGUACCCGUAGAAGAAGCCCGGCUAACUCCGUGCCAGCCGCCGCAGU
rnacentral:rRNA from 1 species